AUAAACAGCCAUAUCACCCUGCCGCCCAAGGCCAGUUGCUCAUUAAAGCUAAGCAUGGCUGAGCCUGGCCAGUACCUGGAUGGGAGCCCGCAUAGGAAAACUGUUGGAAGUGGUGUUAUG
rnacentral:rRNA from 1 species